rnacentral:rRNA from 1 species
GGCAUCUACAGGGGGGAUAACUGAUGGAAACGUCCGCUAAAACCGCAUAGGUGUAGAGAUCGCAUGAACUCUAUAUGAAAAGUGCUACGGGACUGGUAGAUGAUGGACUUAUGGCGCAUUAGCUUGUUGGUAGGGUAACGGCCUACCAAGGCGACGAUGCGUAGCCGACCUGAGAGGGUGACCGGCCACACUGGGACUGAGACACGGCCCAGACUCCUACGGGAGGCAGCAGUAGGGAAUUUUCGGCAAUGGGGGAAACCCUGACCGAGCAACGCCGCGUGAAGGAAGAAGUAAUUCGUUAUGUAAACUUCUGUCAUAGAGGAAGAACGGUGGAUAUAGGGAAUGAUAUCCAAGUGACGGUACUCUAUAAGAAAGCCACGGCUAACUACGUGCCAGCAGCCGCGGUAAUACGUAGGUGGCGAGCGUUAUCCGGAAUUAUUGGGCGUAAAGAGGGAGCAGGCGGCACUAAGGGUCUGUGGUGAAAGAUCGAAGCUUAACUUCGGUAAGCCAUGGAAACCGUAGAGCUAGAGUGUGUGAGAGGAUCGUGGAAUUCCAUGUGUAGCGGUGAAAUGCGUAGAUAUAUGGAGGAACACCAGUGGCGAAGGCGACGAUCUGGCGCAUAACUGACGCUCAGUCCCGAAAGCGUGGGGAGCAAAUAGGAUUAGAUACCCUAGUAGUCCACGCCGUAAACGAUGAGUACUAAGUGUUGGGUGUCAAAGCUCAGUGCUGCAGUUAACGCAAUAAGUACUCCGCCUGAGUAGUACGUUCGCAAGAAUGAACUCAAGGAAUUGACGGGGGCCCGCACAAGCGGUGGAGCAUGUGGUUUAAUUCG